AGCCAAAAUACCCCAAAAUCCCCCAAAUUCACCCCAAAAAUCCAAAAAUUCACCCCAAAAACCCCCAAAUUCACACCAAAUCCACCUGUACUGGGAGGUGAGAGCCAAAAUACCCCAAAUUCACCCCAAAAAUCCACAAAUUCACCCCAAAAAUCCACAAAUUCACACCAAAUCCACCUGUACCGGGAGGUGAGAGCCAAAAUCCCCCAAAUUCACCCCAAAAUACCCCAAAUUCACCCCAAAAACCCCCAAAAAUCCACAAAUUCACCCCAAAAUACCCCAAAUCCACCUGUACCGGGAGGUGAGAGCCAAAAUCCCCCAAAUUCACCCCAAAAAUCCAAAAAUUCACCCCAAAAAUACAAAAAUUCACCCCAAAAAACCCAAAAAUCCACAAAUUCACCCCAAAAAAACCCAAAAACCCCAAAUUCACCCCAAAAUACCCCAAAAAUCCACAAAUUCACCCCAAAUUCACCCCAAAUUCACCUGUACCGGGAGGUGAGAGCCAAAAUACCCCAAAAUACCCCAAAUUCACCCCAAAAAUCAACAAAUUCACCCCAAAAAUCCACAAAUUCACCCCAAAAACCCCAAAUUCACCCCAAAUUCACCCCAAAUUCACCCCAAAAAACCCCAAAAUCACCUGUACCGGGAGGUGAGAGCCAAAAUACCCCAAAUUCACCCCAAAAACCCCCAAAAAUCAACAAAUUCACCCCAAAAAUCCGCAAAAAUCCACAAAUUCACCCCAAAAAUCCCCAAAUUCACCCCAAAAUCCCGGAUUUCCAGGUGGAAUUCCCGGAUUUCCAUUCCCGGAUUUCCCAUUCCCGGAUUUCCGGGUGGAAUUCCCGGAUUUCCGGGUGGAAUUCCCAGAUUUCCAGGAGAAUUCCCGGAUUUCCAGGUGGAAUUCCCGGAUUUCCAUUCCCGGGUGGAAUUCCCGGAUUCCCGGGUGGAAUUCCCGGAUUCCCGGGUGGAAUUCCCGGCAUUCCCCGAUUUCUGGCUGGAAUUCCCGGCUGGAAUCCCCGGCAUUCCCGGAUUUCCAUUCCCGGAUUCCCGGCUGGAAUUCCCGGAUUUCCAUUCCCGGAUUCCCGUGUGGAAUUCCCGGAUUCCCGGGUGGAAUUCCCGGAUUUCCCGGAUUCCCGG
rnacentral:lncRNA from 1 species